AUUGAACGCUGGCGGCAGGCUUAACACAUGCAAGUCGAGCGGGGGAAAGUACUUCGGUACUGACCUUAGCGGCGGACGGGUGAGUAAUGCUUAGGAAUCUGCCUAUUGGUGGGGGACAACAUUCCGAAAGGAAUGCUAAUACCGCAUACGCCCUACGGGGGAAGGCAGGGGAUCUUUGGACCUUGCGCUAAUAGAUGAGCCUAAGUCGGAUUAGCUAGUUGGUGGGGUAAAGGCCUACCAAGGCGACGAUCUGUAGCGGGUCUGAGAGGAUGAUCCGCCACACUGGGACUGAGACACGGCCCAGACUCCUACGGGAGGCAGCAGUGGGGAAUAUUGGACAAUGGGCGGAAGCCUGAUCCAGCCAUGCCGCGUGUGUGAAGAAGGCCUUUUGGUUGUAAAGCACUUUAAGCGAGGAGGAGGCUACUGGUACUAAUACUACUGGAUAGUGGACGUUACUCGCAGAAUAAGCACCGGCUAACUCUGUGCCAGCAGCCGCCGUAACAC
rnacentral:rRNA from 1 species